ensembl:lincRNA
GACAAAGAGGCAGGCAGAGACAGAAGGGGAAGCAGGCUCCUUGCUGAGUAGAAAGCCCAAUGCAGGGCUUGAUCCCAGGACCCUGAGACCAUGACCUGAGCCAAAGGGAGUGACUUACCCCACUGAGCCACCCAGGCACCGCUCCGUUGCUUUUAAAUGCAUAUCUAUGACAACUUCAUUUACAGAGUUCUAUCAACUUGACUUGUGCUGUCUCUUAAAUCAGUGGUAUGCUCUUUGGUAUUGGACCCAAAUUUCUUUUUUUUUUUUUUUUUAGAGUAUCAGAUGAGGAUUCUCUGGGAGACUUGUUCCAACUGCCUUUUUUUCACUCUCAUAUUGUUUUGCUCCUCACAAACCAAGAUCACAAUCUGUCCUGGAUUGUGUUUGGCAACAAGAGUAACCAUGAGGUCAUUUCCACUAUUAUAGGGUCAAGCUCGACAAAAACCCUUCACAGAACUAAUCAUCCCAACUUGCAGAAGAGGGAGCUAAAGUUCAGAGAAGUUGAGUGAACUCAAGGAAAUCAUCCUACUGGUGGAAGCAGGAUCCCAACUCAGAUCUGGGUGUCGUGAAACCGUUCUUUAACAGCUCUCACCUACCUGCCUUUCUGGUAUUUGUCCAAGCAUGUAGGAAAUACCAACUAAACCACUACGCUAGUUGUGGAAAUUCAUAUCUUGUUGAAUGAAUGUAUGCUGUUGCUCCUUCCUCUUGUCUGAUCCCCAAAUCCAUGAAUUCACCGACUUACCUACAACCUACCAGCCUGUGAACAUCAUAUCGGCACCUCAAACUCAACAAACUUGCCCCAGACCGCUCCUCCUGGUCCGGGGUUGGCUAUCUCAGAGAAUGUUCCACAAUUGGCCUGAUCAUUAGGAGUCAGAAAACAGGAAGUCAGUUCUUUCUCCCAGUGCCCUGCGGCCACCACCCUGGUUCUCUGGACUCCGCACAUCGCCUCUUACCUUCCUCCUGUCUAUUCUCUUCAAAAGGCUUGUUGUACCUGUUGUGUCAAACAGUGGAAUGGCUCCUAGCGGGAAAGGAUGGCAUAAAAUCCAAAAUCCUUCCUCAGCGUACACAGCCCAGCAGGGUCCGGCCCCUCCCUGGCCCCGCAGCCCCAUCUCCCACACUCUUGGCUCUGUGCGUGUCUGUCACAGACAGCCUUUCUACACUGCCCCAAAGCCACUGUAUUUCUUCCAGUCUCAGGUUCGGGGCAUUUGAAUAAUUAAUGAUUCCCCACCCGAUUUCGUUUUCCCCGUGGUUCUUAGUGUCUUCUAAGCUAUUUUAUAACUUAUGGUAUCGUUGCUUAUUGUCUGUCUCCCUACACUGGAAUAUAAGUUCCCCUACAACAGAGGCUAUCAUCCAUUUCAUUCACUAGAACCCCGAGCAAUGUCUGGGUCCUCCUGCUUAACAAACAGCUGUUGAAUAAAUUAUUUCAUUCACUUUUAUGUAUGUCACUUAGAUGAAUAAAGAACCUAGACACCAGAUUUCUGGAUAGUGUGUAUUACCUACAAGACAAAAGGGCCCAUGUUGGGUGAGAGAACAGAGGUUGGCAGCUGUCGGACUCCUAAGCAGUGCAGCUUGAUAGGGACUAAAUCAGAAG